AGUGAACGCUGGCGGUAGGCCUAACACAUGCAAGUCGAACGGCAGCACAGUAAGAGCUUGCUCUUACGGGUGGCGAGUGGCGGACGGGUGAGGAAUACAUCGGAAUCUACUUUUUCGUGGGGGAUAAUGUAGGGAAACUUACGCUAAUACCGCAUACGACCUACGGGUGAAAGCAGGGGAUCUUCGGACCUUGCGCGAUUGAAUGAGCCGAUGUCGGAUUAGCUAGUUGGCGGGGUAAAGGCCCACCAAGGCGACGAUCCGUAGCUGGUCUGAGAGGAUGAUCAGCCACACUGGAACUGAGACACGGUCCAGACUCCUACGGGAGGCGGCAGUGGGGAAUAUUGGACAAUGGGCGCAAGCCUGAUCCAGCCAUACCGCGUGGGUGAAGAAGGCCUUCGGGUUGUAAAGCCCUUUUGUUGGGAAAGAAAAGCAGCAGGUUAAUACCCCGCUGUUCUGGCGGUACCCAAAGAAUAAGCACCGGCUAACUUCGUG
rnacentral:rRNA from 1 species